rnacentral:rRNA from 1 species
UACGAAGGGUGCAAGCGUUACUCGGAAUUACUGGGCGUAAAGCGUGCGUAGGCGGUUCGUCGCGUCGGCUGUGAAAACCCGGAGCUCAACUCCGGGCCUGCAGUCGAUACGGGCGGACUCGAGUGUUGCAGGGGAGACUGGAAUUCCUGGUGUAGCGGUGAAAUGCGCAGAUAUCAGGAGGAACACCGGUGGCGAAGGCGGGUCUCUGGGCAACUACUGACGCUGAGGAGCGAAAGCGUGGGGAGCGAACAGG